CUAGUCUUACUUGCGCAUCAUUAUAAUUGAGGAGACAUUGAUCCAUACUUUGGUUUAUAAAGUACACUGUUUCACAUCAACGGUAUGUUUGGAAUAAAGAGCGCGUUGGUUGUUCUUGUCUUGGUGUCUGUGAUGUUGGACCAGGUCUACACCUAUCCUAUAGCUACUAAUGAUUCAGAAAAAGGCCUGGGCACGGGCUCAAAACCUCAAAAGAAAAUAAAGGACAAGAAGCCUCCUAAAUGUCCGCCGGGUCUCUGGUGCCGCUCGAAAGUGCCAAUGUUGCCUUCAAUACCUAUUAUUUGAUGCAGUUGCUUGAAUAGCUGUCAAAUAGUCGAUGUCAAUUCAGAAUAUUGUAAUCAAAUACAUGAAGUAAUAUUCACCAUUCAAAGAAAUAAAAAGAUUUAGUUCAAAUGAGGACAUUUGGAGUU